UAUAUAUUUCAAGUCAUCCAAUGCUUGAAUAAAAGCCCAAUGUGUUUAGGCCCAAUGGGCCCAAUUAAACCCGAACGUUUCUUUAAGCCCAAAACGAUCUUUAUCGCUUUUAUGAUUUUUUUAGACUUUCUAAAUUAAUCACAACACUUAAUUAAUCCAAUUAAUUAUUUCCAUCAUCCAUUAGUUACUCACUACAAUAGUGUAUUGGUGAACAAUCUUUUAGGUUCUAAUUAGCAAGACAGUGAGGUGAUUGGCACCAAUCCAAUUGAUUAUAUUUAAUCCAAUCACUUAGUGAAUUAAAACAUACUU
rnacentral:lncRNA from 1 species